CCUACGGGCGGCAGCAGUAGGGAAUCUUUCACAAUGGGCGAAAGCCUGAUGGAGCAACGCCGCGUGCAGGAUGAAGGCCUUCGGGUUGUAAACUGCUUUUAUAAGCGAGAAAUAUGAUGGUAACUUUUGAAUUAGGAUCGGCUAAAUACGUGCCAGCAGCCGCGGUCAUACGUAGGAUCCGAGCAUUAUACGGGGUGACUGGUUGUAACGAGUUGCGUAGGUGGCAUGAUAGGUAGCUAGUGAAAUCUGGUGGCUCAACCAUUCAGACUAUUAGCUAAACUGUUAAGCUCGAGACCGUUAGGGGUAACUAGAAUUUCAAGUGUAGGAGUGAAAUCCGUAGAUAUUAGAAGGAACACCGAUAGCGUAGGCAGGUUACUGGGACGGUUCUGACACUAAGGCACGAAAGCGUAGGGAGCAAACGGGAUUAGAUACCCCGGUAGUC
rnacentral:rRNA from 1 species